GUUUGAAGGCAUGAAAUCUUUAAAGAUUCUCCAAAUACCCUCUGAUAAGAAGUUAAGUUACAGAAAGCUAAUUUCAUCCUGACCCGAGGAUGAAACAAUUUAGGUAAAUUAUCUGCUUCAAGACGUUAAAUUCUGUCCAACUAUUUGGUGCACCGUGUUCUGACCGGGUGGUUAUUUGUGUUGCAUGGCGCUCUCACUCCCACUAAUGAUAGCCUCUGCAGCUGAUAGGUGGAUGCCAGGUGUGGUUGUCAGCUAUGGAGGGUGCCAGCGAGGGCAAAAUGAAGCGCAGAGAAAACUUUAAACUUAGCAGGAAACAAAACGCAGCCCUGGGCCAGUACUGCAGAACUGAAUUAGCUUCAUGUAGUAGCUCGCCCUCGACGCUGCAAGACCUGAGCAGGAAACAUUCGCUGGGUGCAAUGAGCUGUUUAGCUUUUUCCAUUGAACGCCGCAACGAGCGGAGGGUGAGAGAUGAGG